UUUUCCUGGGGGAAGGUUACUA
rnacentral:misc_RNA from 1 species